AUGCUAACCUGCAUGUUCGAACUUUUAUGGUUGUUUUUACUAGUGUUUUGCAAAUGCCUCCAAAAGUUCUCGCGGUCUCUAAGAAACAAAAAACUACCGGGGGAAGCAGCUCGAGAAAGCCUAUGGAGUUUGACGCUUCAUAGUUCAAUAGUGCAGAGCAUCGGGACAGGUUUGUUGCACUUAAGGGUAGGAAAAUCUUGGAUGAAAAGAUAUUCAACAUUAACCCUCAAGGUGAAUUUAAGAAGGUGGCUGGAAUUUUUAAGAAGAAAAGUUGGGGUGAUCUAA